GAUGAAGAACGCAGCGAAAUGCGAUACGUAAUGUGAAUUGCAGAAUUCAGUGAAUCAUCGAAUCUUUGAACGCAUAUUGCGCUCUUUGGUAUUCCGAAGAGCAUGCUUGUUUGAGUAUCAGUAAACACCUCAAAGACUUCAAUUUGUUUUGAAUGGCUUUGGACUUGAGCAAUCCCAACACCAGUCUUUACGAUCGGUGGAGGGUUGCUUGAAAUGCAGGUGCAGCUGGACAUUCUCCUGAGCUAAAAGCAUAUUUAUUUAGUCCCGUCAAACGGAUUAUUACUUUUGCUGCAGCUAACAUAAAGGGAGUUUGACCGUAUUGGCUGACUGAUGCAGGAUUUCACAAGGGUCGGCAACGAUUCUUGUAAAACUCGAUCUCAAAUCAAGUAAGACUACCCGCUGAACUUAAGCAUAUCAAUAAGGGAGGA
rnacentral:misc_RNA from 1 species